UACAGAGGUCUCAAGCGUUGUUCGGAUUCAUUGGGCGUAAAGGGUGUGUAGGUGGCGCCGUAAGUCGGGUGUGAAAUCUCGGGGCUUAACUCCGAAACUGCAUUCGAUACUGCGGUGCUUGAGGACUGGAGAGGAGACUGGAAUUCAUGGUGUAGCAGUGAAAUGCGUAGAUAUCUGCAGGAACACCCGUGGCGAAAGCGGCGCGCUGGACCACUACUGACGCUGAAGAACGAAAGCUAGGGGAGCAAACAGG
rnacentral:rRNA from 1 species